rnacentral:rRNA from 1 species
CGCAGCCGCGGUAAUUCCAGCUCCAAUAGCGUAUAUUAAAGUUGUUGCAGUUAAAAAGCUCGUAGUUGAAUUUCGGGGUCAGUAGGUUGGUCGUGCCACCGGUACGUACUGGUCUCACUGAUUCCUCCUUCCUGAAGAACCGUAAUGCCAUUAAUUUGGUGUUGCGGGGAAACAGGACUGUUACUUUGAAAAAAUUAGAGUGUUUAAAGCAAGCUAACGCUUGAAUACAUUAGCAUGGAAUAAUGAAAUAGG